CUUGCUUCAGCAGCACAUGCUAAAAUUGGAAUGAUACAAAGAAAAUUAGCCUGGCCCCUAUACAAGGAUGACAUGCAAAUUUGUGAAACUUUCCAUAUUAAA